UACGGGGGGGGCAAGCGUUGUUCGGAAUUACUGGGCGUAAAGGGCUCGUAGGUGGCCAACUAAGUCGGACGUGAAAUCCCUCAGCUUAACUGGGGAACUGCGUCCGAUACUGGAUGGCUCGAGUUUGGGAGAGGGAUGCGGAAUUCCAGGUGUAGCGGUGAAAUGCGUAGAUAUCUGGAGGAACACCGGUGGCGAAGGCGGCAUCCUGGACCAACACUGACACUGAGACGCGAAAGCGUGGGGAGCAAACAGG
rnacentral:rRNA from 1 species